rnacentral:rRNA from 1 species
AACGAACGCUGGCGGCAGGCCUAACACAUGCAAGUCGAACGCAUCCUUCGGGGUGAGUGGCAGACGGGUGAGUAACGCGUGGGAAUCUACCUCUUGCUACGGGAUAGCUCCGGGAGACUGGAAUUAAUACCGUAUGUGGCCUAUGGGCGAAAGAUUUAUCGGCAAGGGAUGAGCCCGCGUUGGAUUAGCUAGUUGGUGGGGUAAAGGCCUACCAAGGCGACGAUCCAUAGCUGGUCUGAGAGGAUGAUCAGCCACAUUGGGACUGAGACACGGCCCAAACUCCUACGGGAGGCAGCAGUGGGGAAUAUUGGACAAUGGGCGCAAGCCUGAUCCAGCCAUGCCGCGUGAGUGAUGAAGGUCUUAGGAUUGUAAAGCUCUUUCACCGGGGACGAUAAUGACGGUACCCGGAGAAGAAGCCCCGGCUAACUUCGUGCCAGCCGCCGCGGUAA